rnacentral:lncRNA from 1 species
CAGGAAUUGGUAAGACCAUGCCCAUCUUAGGCUCAUGGUCAUAAAAGUAAAAACUCCUUUGAGAAGAGACCACUGGGGCACUCUGCUUGCACAGGGGGCUUAAGAUGUUGUUUCACCGUGUUCAGCUGCCCAGGCACUCAGAGGCCACUGCACUCAGGGUCCCAGGAGGCUCAGCUACUGCUUGAUAUGGCAGCAGGCGCUGGUUUCAGUGAUAUGGUCCUGAUUCUGGAGGACUAUAGGAUGCUGGAUCAGGGGGUCAUGGAGGCUUCCACCGAGAUUUUUCAAAGCAAGGCCUAGGAGGCUAGGCAGAGUGCAGCAGGGUCAGAGUCCCUGGGGCUGCCCUGAGAGGGUGAUGUGUGGAGACGUGGAAAAGAAGCCAGUGCUGCAGUGCAGACCCCCACGGUUCAGAGACCCCCAUACCAUGGACUGUCUGCCAAGGAAAGCUGCAGGAAUCAAGCAGAGACAAGCCCAGAGAGAAGCUUGUGGCGGUAACCAACAAGGUCAUUGGGGUGGAGCGACACGAGUCCUUUGGAGAGAACAUCAUUGUAUGAUUCAGAUGUGGUGUCCCCAGAAAGCUCACACGUGAGACCAGGCAGGGUUUGAAGGAGAAAGGAUAGGGUUAUAGGCUUUCCUAAUCAGUGAGUUAAUCCCUGAGCAGGUAGGGUGUGGCUGGUGGAAUGCCAAUAGGACCGUGGGGCAUGGCUGUGG